rnacentral:rRNA from 1 species
GAGUUUGAUCUUGGCUCAGAGCGAACGCUGGCGGCAGGCCUAACACAUGCAAGUCGAGCGCCCCGCAAGGGGAGCGGCAGACGGGAUAGUAACACGUGGGAACGUACCCUUCAGUUCGGAACAACCAAGGGAAACUUUGGCUAAUACCGAAUACGUCCGUAAGGAGAAAGAUUUAUCGCUGAAGGAUCGGCCCGCGUCUGAUUAGCUAGUUGGUGGGGUAAUGGCCCACCAAGGCGACGAUCAGUAGCUGGUCUGAGAGGAUGAUCAGCAUCACUGGGACUGAGACACGGCCCAGACUCCUACGGGAGGCAGCAGUGGGGAAUAUUGGACAAUGGGCGCAAGCCUGAUCCAGCCAUGCCGCGUGGAUGAUGAAGGCCCUAGGGUUGUAAAGUCCUUUCGGCGGGGAAGAUAAUGACGGUACCCGCAGAAGAAGCCCCGGCUAACUUCGUGCCAGCAGCCGCGGUAAC